rnacentral:rRNA from 1 species
GAUGAACGCUAGCGGCAGGCCUAACACAUGCAAGUCGAGGGAGAAGCCCUUUCGGGGGCAGACACCGGCGCACGGGUGCGUAACGCGUAUGCAACCUACCUUUCACAGGGGGAUAGCCCGAAGAAAUUUGGAUUAAUACCCCAUAAUAUUAUUGGAUGGCAUCAUUUGAUAAUUAAAACUGCGGUGGUGAAAGAUGGGCAUGCGUCCUAUUAGCUAGUUGGAGUGGUAACGGCACCCCAAGGCUACGAUAGGUAGGGGUCCUGAGAGGGAGAUCCCCCACACUGGUACUGAGACAGGGACCAGACUCCUACGGGAGGCAGCAGUGAGGAAUAGUGGUCAAUGGUCGGAAGACUGAACCAGCCAUGCCGCGUGCAGGAAGAAUGCCUUAUGGGUUGUAAACUGCUUUUAGAUGGGAAGAAUAAGGCGUACGUGUACGUUGAUGACGGUACCAUAUGAAUAAGCAUCGGCUAACUCCGUG